CCAGCAUAUGGCAAGGCCACUCUGAUGGGGAUGAAGAGAAAAAGAACCUCUCUCCAUGCUCAUAAGCUUGUCUAACUGUAGACAUAAAGAAGGUCUAUCUGUAAACCACAAGAGGCCAAGCGUUCCCUCUUGUAACUGUUUGUGAUUCUUGGGUGGAAGAGAUGUGAGAUGAUGCCUGAGAAAGGAACCUGCCCCUGCUCAGUCUGACCGUGGAAAGAUGUUGGUGGGCUGGGAAGUGACUUAAUGGCUGAGUGCUUGUCCACACGGACACGGUUCCCGAGCUCUGAGUGGAGGGACCCGAUGGAGACAUCCAACUUGGUCUCUCUGACUUAUAUUUGGCUGUGGGUCUCUGUAUCUGCUAUCAUCAGCUGCUGGAGGCAGCCUUUCUGAUGACAACUGAACUAGCCACUCAUCUAAGAGUAUAGUAG
rnacentral:lncRNA from 1 species